UACAGAGGGGGCAAGCGUUGUCCGGACUGACUGGGCGUAAAGCGCACGCAGGCGGUUGUGGGCGUCGGUGCUGAAAGUCCACUGCUUAACAGUGGGAUGCGUGCCGAUACGCCAUAACUGGAGCGAUGCAGAGGCCAGUGGAAUUGCCGGUGUAGUGGUGAAAUGCGUAGAUAUCUGGAGGAAUACCGGUGGCGAAGGCGGCAUCCUGGACCGACAUUGACGCUGAGGAGCGAAAGCCAGGGGAGCAAACAGG
rnacentral:rRNA from 1 species